rnacentral:tRNA from 1 species
GGAUCGGUAGCUCAGUGGAGAGAGCAUCGCGUUGCGGACGCGAAGGUCGAGGGUUCGAAUCCUUCUCGGUCCA